rnacentral:rRNA from 1 species
GAUGAACGCUGGCGGCGUGCCUAAUACAUGCAAGUCGAGCGAACAGACGAGGAGCUUGCUCCUCUGACGUUAGCGGCGGACGGGUGAGUAACACGUGGAUAACCUACCUAUAAGACUGGGAUAACUUCGGGAAACCGGAGCUAAUACCGGAUAAUAUAUUGAACCGCAUGGUUCAAUAGUGAAAGACGGUUUUGCUGUCACUUAUAGAUGGAUCCGCGCCGCAUUAGCUAGUUGGUAAGGUAACGGCUUACCAAGGCAACGAUGCGUAGCCGACCUGAGAGGGUGAUCGGCCACACUGGAACUGAGACACGGUCCAGACUCCUACGGGAGGCAGCAGUAGGGAAUCUUCCGCAAUGGGCGAGAGCCUGACGGAGCAACGCCGCGUGAGUGAUGAAGGUCUUCGGAUCGUAAAACUCUGUUAUUAGGGAAGAACAAAUGUGUAAGUAACUAUGCACGUCUUGACGGUACCUAAUCAGAAAGCCACGGCUAGCUACGUG